CUGAGCUUCUUCUAGGACAGAAGACACCUUUCUCUUCUGGGGCCCAUAAAGGAGCUAGAUAUCCCCAGCCUCAGAAGAAUCAUGACUAAUCUAGGCUAGGAAACAGUAGCUCCUAAAACAGUUAAGAAAUUAAGCAUUGGACUAGGUGAUUUUCUUCCAAUCUCACUUUUGUGGAUACAAAAGAAGGUCCCUGUUUUUUUGCUGGCAGAUCUGCAGCCUAAAGGAAGGAACUCAGCUCAGGUACUCAACAAUGCAUGCUAAGCAAGUUUCCUGAAGUUGGUUUGAAUCUUCUAACCACAAAACAUCUUAGGAGCAUGGAACUCCGUCCCUUCCUCCUUCCCCACCCCCACUACCCCAUGGGAGCACACGUUUUUCCAGCCAGACAAAGAAAGAAACAAAAUGGAGUGAAACCGAGCCAGAGAGCCAAAGUUUCAUUAGGGACAUCUGAAUAUAACUGUCUAUGUAAGAGAAGCUUAAAUUCAGCAAAGAAGAGUCUAGAAGAGGUGAGUCAUGUGUAGCAUAAUCAGGGAGCCUGAGGCUUGAUAGGGUCCCACCACAAAAGUGAAUGGAGCACUGGACUGGCCUUCAGAAGACCUGGGUCUGUAGCUUAAGCAAGUGACUGAACCUCCCUGUGCCCGGUUUUCUCUUCUAUACAAUGAAGGGGUUGAACUAAAAGUCUUCUGAAGUACCUUCGAGCUCUAUAGCAAUGAUUCUAAAUCUACAAGAUUAUCCUUUCCAGCUCUAAAAUCCACAUGGACCACACCAUUUGGACUGUACUUCAUAACAGAGCAUUAUUGCCAUCUGGUGGCCAUUACUUCUAGUGCAGGCCCGAGGCCCCCGGAGAGCUCCUGCAGACCACCCAUAUGUGGGUAAUGCUACUGGUGCCAUCUAUGUUCAGAAGAAUAUACCACUUGAAGGUUGGACUUGGUUUUUCCAUCCCAUGUAACAGGGUUUAUAACAGCAACUGCAUCAUGGGACAUCUCAAAGACCCACAGAGACAAAUAAAACACCACAGACACACUUAGGUUGAUACUUC
rnacentral:lncRNA from 1 species